AUCCAUGUUGGAAUCAAAUUUAAAAAAAGAUGCAUACCAAUUUUAAACUUGGUCUUUAAACUGAACAGCUGGGAAAUUUUCUGUUUGGACUAUGUUAUCUGUCUAAUUGAACUGAUUUCUGAGCUCUGCAGAUUGUGGCAAAAGGUGCCCUACAGCAAGAUGGCAUUUCUAAUUGACUCAUCUGAACUGCAGCAUUACUCCUGUCUUUCUUCUGAUUGGGUAUGAUUCACUGGAGUGAUUAUCCAGUGGCCAAAUGCUGGCUUGAUGUUCCUCACAAUGUCAAACUUGUACCCAAUGGCACAGUUAUACCAAUGUCUGAACAGCAUAUCUGAAAGAAGCGAAAGGAGUAGAAGUUGGGAAAAUCACAGCUACCCUCAUC